CGUGUCUCUACCUACGGGAGGCAGCAGUGGGGAAUCUUAGACAAUGGGCGCAAGCCUGAUCUAGCCAUGCCGCGUGAGUGAUGAAGGUCUUAGGAUCGUAAAGCUCUUUCGCUAGGGAUGAUAAUGACAGUACCUAGUAAAGAAGCCCCGGCUAACUCCGUGCCAGCAGCCGCGGUAAUACGGAGGGGGCUAGCGUUGUUCGGAAUUACUGGGCGUAAAGCGUACGUAGGCGGAUCAGAAAGUAUGGGGUGAAAUCCCAGGGCUUAACCCUGGAACUGCCUCAUAAACUCCUGGUCUUGAGUUCGAGAGAGGUGAGUGGAAUUCCAAGUGUAGAGGUGAAAUUCGUAGAUAUUUGGAGGAACACCAGUGGCGAAGGCGGCUCACUGGCUCGAUACUGACGCUGAGGUACGAAAGUGUGGGGAGCAAACAGGAUUAGAUACCCUUGUAGUCCA
rnacentral:rRNA from 1 species